AGGUGGGAGAAGAAGAAUUGUGAAAAAGGUGGCUUUGGAAAGCAUAUUUCCUCCUCCACACUAGGAUAACCUUAGAGUUAAACAAUCAUUUUGGUUUCAUGUAUUUUCUAGUGUCAUUUGUGACCUUUGUUACUCGGUCACAUAGACUUCUUAGCGCUUACCGUAGGCGGGGAAAUACAAAUGUUAUUUUCUUGGCCUCUUAUCUGACAGUGGUUUGCAUCUUCAAAAAGGUAUUUUUGAGAUCUCCCAAAUUGGAAAAUCUUUGCCCAGUGCAAAACCAAAGUUUUAAAUCUAGUAUUUUAACAGACUGUGACUGUGAUACUGGAUUGAAAUGUUAAAAAAGCCUUUUGAAUAUGUGAAACAGCUGCCAGAUAAUAGGUAAAAAACAUAACUCCCUUCAAUCAAGUCAUGCAGAGUGGGGAUUUCCCCAAAAAUGAAUCCCCAGCAAACUUUAAUAAACCUAUAAGGUAAUUUAAGGAAACUUCUGAAGGUAUUUCCAGAAUCAUUAAAUACCUUUUUUCCCCAUCUGGAUAAAAAAAUAACAUUCUAUCUGCUAAAUGUCAAAAAUGGUAGCUGGGUUGCUCAGUUUUAUAGCUAUAGUUUUGGUACAUUUUGUGUUUUUAAAAAAUGAGCCUGGAUAUAUGUAAUUUCCGAUUACCGGUAACUUAAUUAUGUAAGGCAGUUGUUAUUAUCAUCAAGAUAGUUUGAAGAGUCUUUGAGGAUUCUGGAAAUAUCUGUUGUUAAACAACCUGCUGGGUUUUUCAAAGAUGACGAUCGGAUUAACCGUAGUAGUCAAACCAUUUGUUUAAAAAAUUGUAUAGGGAUGUAAGGGAUCUGGAUAUUGGGCCACCGCAGAUUAGCAUUAUAAUGAACAAAGCAGCCAUUUACUAAAAUGUGGCUACUUGCAUAGGUGCUAGAUUGGAUCUGCUAGACGUGUGAACAUCAUGACAUGCCUCGUGGCCUGCCUUAUUCUGUCUCCAGUUGGCUUACCCUGCUAUUCUUUCCCUAACCAAUCCCCACUCCUCAUGCUUAAACCUAACCACGUCUAGCGGAUUCAAUCUAGCAUUUACCCACUUUGGCCACCCCCAAGCUACUGUUUCCAUGUUUUCAGCCCCACACAUAUUUCGAAAUAGAUUUAAGUUACUUAUGUUAUUACAAUGAAAGUGAUAUAUAAAUGAAAGGAAAAAUCCACAAUGUAUAGUUAUAACUGGAUUUAACUGUAGCAUGCAUAUGCAAGUACAGUUAACUUAAAUAACAUAGGCAAUGUAACAAUUUUAAGUAAAUUUACUUUUGUCAUUAACUAUUCUACAAAAAGAGACUGCUGGCACAUUCUUGCUCAGAGAAGCAGAAGCCUGUGCACUGUAGUGCAGCCUUCUUACACCUGCAGCAAUUCUUGUAGACACAAGUGAUAAGCUGGUGGCAUGAUUUUGAUGCUUGUGGCAACAUCCAGUGGAGCUUAUACAUUCCUUCAGUCUUCACCCACCCCCAGUCAGAUGGUGAUGGCAGCACAUGGUCUGGUAGCAGUGUUUCCCCCCCCCCCCUCCCCCCCACGUGUGAUGUGUCCACCCUGGUAGACUGCUCUCUUGACAUGUUCCACCAGAGCAGCUCAGUGACGUGUUUGGACCGCUCACCUUGCUGUAAUGGCUGCUGUCGGUGGAACUCCAGCGGAGCCACGAUGAAGCUGGUCUGGCCCAGCGGGUUCCAGUGAUGCAGCACCCUCAGCAUCCACAAGCCGGGCCUCAAGGGCAGGGACAGCUAGGUGAGAAAGGCGAGAGAGAGGGGGAAGACGUGCAGGAAAUUGUCACAGGUCGGAUUCGAACCCUGGACCUCUGCGUCGAGGCAUAAACCUCUCCGUAUAUGUGCGCCUACUCUACCCACUGACUCCAAACCGGCCUCAAGAGAGAUAUUUGCUUUUCAACUGACCGCAACAAAGUGCAGAUGUUAAAUCUGUGCUUUACAUCUUUAUAAAUAAAACACUUAAAUUGAGUGAAUAUAAAAUGUGCACAGACAACACGAGCUACUGGUCAAAACAAAUGUGUCAAAUUUCUGAAGUCCUUGUUGGAGUGUGUCCGUGUGUGUGUGUCUGACCUGGAUGUGCUGUAGC